CACCAUGGGUGCGGCGGGGAGGGCGUCAGGAUUUUAGCGAUGCUUAGGUGGGGCGUGGCCAAAACCAGGCUGGGAGCCACAGCCCUCCGCCCAUAGCUCAGCAGCUGGCGGAUCUGGCGAGAUAAACUGGCUCCCCGCUCUUUAUCACCUUGGCCCCGCCCCUCUGUUGACUGACAGCUUGUUAUGUGUCUUCAUUCCUUGCCUCUCACAGCCUCCGGAGCAGUGGCUCCCAACCUCCGCCGGCUCGGGCGUCCCGGGAGGGCUGGCCACAACGCAGAUGCAGGCUCCGCCCAGAGCUGCUGCCCACGGGGCCGGCGAGCACUUGCUUCUCCAAGGAGUUCCCGGCAUUUCUGAAGCUGCAGGUCCCAGGACGACGCUUUCAGAGCCGCCCCUGGAGGAAGUGAGGUCCGCGCUGCAGAAGGGACCCCUUACAGGCGAAGGCGCACUUUGAGUCAAUGAAUGGGGGGAUGAAAACGAGCCGGAGGACAGUGACUAUAAUGAAGGACAGAGGAAGGGCACUCCCGUUCACCAGACCCCAUCUUGGGCCCGUCACCGACCCGGUGGCGCCCCAGGGAGUCUGGGCUUCGUCCUAACCCCACCCAGCAGCCCACAGGCCCCGCCCCGCAGCCCGCCUCCGCGGCUUUUGUGACGUCACGACCCCAGGGGUCAGGAGAAUGGUUGCUGUGGCAACGUAAACCAAAGGCCCGCGCGCUCUGAGCCUUGGAACCGCGGCGCGGAAGCUUCGGAUCAAGCCCGGUGCGCGAGGCUGGUUGGAACCUUCUCUAGCCCAGGUCCGGUUUUGCAGCAAGCCCUUGUUCCUCUGCAGGAAAGUCCAAGCUCCUGUCGUCUACUAUGGUUUCCAAGGUCAUGGCGAACAUCAAGAACAGCCUGGAAUCCACAGACGAGAGCUCCCCUUCAGUCAUUGAAGAAAAGAAAAAGAAACAUAAGAAAAAAGGCAAAGGUACCUCUGG